GGGGGGAGCAAGCGUUGUUCGGAUUUACUGGGCGUAAAGGGCGCGUAGGCGGCGCAACAAGUCACUUGUGAAAUCUCCGGGCUUAACCCGGAGCGGCCAAGUGAUACUGUCGUGCUAGAGUGCGGAAGGGGCUACUGGAAUUCUCGGUGUAGCGGUGAAAUGCGUAGAUAUCGAGAGGAACACCUGCGGCGAAGGCGGGUAGCUGGGCCGACACUGACGCUGAGGCGCGAAAGCCAGGGGAGCGAACGGGAUUAGAUACCCCGGUAGUCCUGGCCUUAAACGAUGGAUGCUUGGUGUCCGGGGUUACAUAGUCCCCGGGUGCCGGCGCUAACGCAUUAAGCAUCCCGCCUGGGGAGUACGGUCGCAAGACUGAA
rnacentral:rRNA from 1 species